GACGAACGCUUGCGGCGUGCCUAAGAAAUGCAAGUCGAACGGAUGUAGGGAGUAAUCCCUUCAUUAGUGGCGAACGGUCGCGUAACACGUAGGCAACCUGCCCGGAAGUGGGGGAUAACAGACCGAAAGGUCUGCUAAUACCGCAUGUGGUCCGCUGGUCGCAUGACUGGCGGUCUAAAGCUUAAUGCGCUUCCGGAUGGGCUUGCGGCCUAUCAGGUAGUUGGUGGGGUAAUGGCCUACCAAGCCGACGACGGGUAGCUGGUCUGAGAGGACGAUCAGCCGGAUUGGGACUGAGAUACGGCCCAGACUCCUACGGGGGGCAGCAAUUAGGAAUCUUGCGCAAGUGGGGGAAACCCGUGACGCAGCGACGCCGCGUGCGGGACGAAGGCAUUCGUGUCGUAAACCGUC
rnacentral:rRNA from 1 species